UACGUAGGGUGCGAGCGUUGUCCGGAAUUAUUGGGCGUAAAGAGCUUGUAGGCGGUCUGUCGCGUCUGCUGUGAAAAUCCGGGGCUCAACCCCGGACUUGCAGUGGGUACGGGCAGACUAGAGUGUGGUAGGGGAGACUGGAAUUCCUGGUGUAGCGGUGAAAUGCGCAGAUAUCAGGAGGAACACCCGUGGCGAAAGCGGCUCUCUGGGACGGUACUGACGCUGAGACGCGAAAGCGUGGGGAGCAAACAGG
rnacentral:rRNA from 1 species